CCCAGCCCCCUGCUCUCCCUGCUCUACGCCGACCUCACGGCCGACGGGCUGCGCGAGUUGGCCGGCGUCUGCCUCAAGGGCCUCCACGUCCUGCAGCACAGCCUGGAACCCACGGCCCGGCGGGUCCUGGAGCGGCUGCGGAGACGCGCGGAACGACGGGCCUUGGAAGGGUGAAGACCUUCGUCUUCCAUCAUCAGCGACGGACCCAAACUCGGCCCUUUUCACCCCAAAAAUGAAUAAAAUAACGCAAAACCCC